rnacentral:rRNA from 1 species
AGAGAUGUGUGAUGACGCAUAUCAAUAAGCGGAGGAAAAGAAACUAACAAGGAUUCCCCUAGUAACGGCGAGUGAAGCGGGAAGAGCUCAAAUUUGAAAUCUUAAAGGGUUUCCCUUUACGAAUUGUAGUUUAAAGAAGUGUUUUCUGUUGGAGUUUCGGUAAAAGUUCUUUGGAAUAGGACAUCAUAGAGGGUGAGAAUCCCGUAUUUGACCGUUACUUUCCAGCUUUGUGAUACACUUUCAAAGAGUCGGAUUGUUUGGGAAUGCAGUCCAAAAUGGGUGGUAAAUUUCAUCUAAAGCUAAAUAUUGGCGAGAGACCGAUAGCGAACAAGUACCGUGAGGGAAAGAUGAAAAGAACUUUGAAAAGAGAGUUAAACAGUACGUGAAAUUGUCAAAAGGGAAGCGUUUGACACCAGUGUUGUUUUUCCGAAAAUCAAUUACGAAUGUUUUAUUUUUGAGAAGUUAUGACUUCAUCGGCUUGCUUCUCUCUUUAUGAAACUUUCUUAAUGCACUUUUCGGUUAACAAGUCAACAUCAAUUUCUUUUUGUUGUAAAAGGGUAUGAGGAAGGUGGCUUUCUUUUCGGAGAAAGUGUUUAUAGCCCUUGUACCUUCUGCAAUCGGAGAGAUUGAGGUCUGCAGCGUAGAUCCUUCGGGGUUAGAUACAUUUGUGCUAAGUUAUAGCUUCUCAUAGACAACUUGUUGACUUAUGAUUAAGUCUUGUAGCUUACUCGCUUAUGCUAUUUUACCUACGCUUAGGAUGUUGAUAGUCACAGCGUGUAC